GUGAAAUUGUUGUAAACGGGAAACGAUUGAAGUCAGUCGUGCCGGCCGGGGGGAGUUCAGCGAGUUUCCGUGGGAAUGAGCGUAUUUCCUCGCAUGGCAGGUCAGCGUCAGUUUCGCGCGUCGUGAAAUGGUUCUGGUAAGGUAGCUCUCUUCCGGGGAGUGUUAUAGACCAAAGCAGAUGCCGGGGGGUGCGAGACUGAGGAUUGCAGCGAACACCCUUCGGGGCGCGGCGACCGAUCCCUGCUCUGUCACCUUCGUCCGAUAGCGUGCUAACGGUCGGGGGAGCGGCGGUUGCACCGGGUUGGCAGGCCGGCGGCUUCGCUAAGGAUGCUGACGUAAUGGCUUUAAACGAC
rnacentral:rRNA from 1 species